rnacentral:rRNA from 1 species
GACGAACCGUGCGAACGUUGUUCGGAAUCACUAGGCUUAAAGGGCGCGUAGGCGGGCAGGCAAGUCAGGGGUGAAAGCCCACGGCUCAACCGUGGAAGCGCCUUUGAUACUGCCGGUCUCGAGGGAGGUAGGGGCGUGCGGAACUUCCGGUGGAGCGGUGAAAUGCGUAGAUAUCGGAAGGAACACCGGUGGCGAAAGCGGCGCGCUGGACCUCUUCUGACGCUGAGGCGCGAAAGCCAGGGGAGCAAACGGG